CAGAAAGACCCUAUGCAGCUUUACUAUAAGCUGGUAUUGUGUUCUGGUUACGAUUGCGUAGCGUAGGUGGGAGACUGUGAACCCGGGAUUUAGGUUUCGGGGGAGUCGCAAUGUGAAACACCACUCUGUUGUAAUUAGGAUUCUAACCGCGAUCCCAUCAGCUGGGCGCGGGACAGUGCUUGCGGGUUAGUUUGGCUGGGGCGGCUUCCUCCCAAAGAGUAACGGAGGAGUGCGAAGCUUGGUUCAGCAUGGUUGGCAACCAUGCGUCGAGGAUAUGGCUAGAAACCAGGUUUACUGUGAGACCUACAAGUCGAGCAGUUGCGAAAGCAGGCCCAAAUGAUCCGGCGGUUGAAUGUGGAAUUGCCGUCGCUCAACGGACAAAAGGUACGCUAGGGAUAACAGGCUGA
rnacentral:rRNA from 1 species